UGCCAUGGCCAUAUCACUCUGCAGCCCACUGAAGCUAAGCAGGGCUAAGCCUGGUCAGUACCUGGAUGGGAGACCACAUGAGAAAACUAGUUUGCUGUUGGAA
rnacentral:rRNA from 1 species